UUUCCAGUCCUUAACUGACGCUAAAGCUCGAAAGUGCGGGUAUCGAACAGGAUUAGAUACCCUGGUAGUCCGCACGGUAAACGAUGGAUGCCCGCUGUUGGCGACACACUGUCAGCGGCCAAGCGAAAGCGUUAAGCAUCCCACCUGGGGAGUACGCCGGCAACGGUGAAACUCAAAGGAAUUGACGGGGGCCCGCACAAGCGGAGGAACAUGUGGUUUAAUUCGAUGAUACGCGAGGAACCUUACCCGGGCUUGAACUGCCAGUGAACGAUUCAGAGAUGAUGAGGCCCUUCGGGGCGCUGGUGGAGGUGCUGCAUGGUUGUCGUCAGCUCGUGCCGUGAGGUGUCGGCUUAAGUGCCAUAACGAGCGCAACCCUUUUCUCCAGUUGCCAUCAGGUUGAGCUGGGCACUCUGGAGACACUGCCACCGUAAGGUGUGAGGAAGGUGGGGAUGACGUCAAAUCAGCACGGCCCUUACGUCCGGGGCUACACACGUGUUACAAUGGGUGGUACAGAGCGUUGGUUGUAUGCAAAUACGAUCUAAUCCUUAAAGCCAUCCUCAGUUCGGAUUGGGGUCUGCAACCCGACCCCAUGAAGCUGGA
rnacentral:rRNA from 1 species